GCCACAAAACUGUUGAAGAUUAUACUUUAACCAUUACUUAAAAACAUUCAAAACGUUUUGCUUAUAGGAUGCUUUCACUGGAUGCCAAAUUCUUCCAUGUUCCCACAAAGUGCACAAAGAAUGUGCAACUCAAAUGAUACGCAGCGGAAUGUGAGUACAUAUAUACUUGUAAAUUGGUUCAUGAAUUAUGAUCUGUACGAUUGCAUGGGCAGUGAGCAGGGCCGUCCUCAGGAAAUUCUUCAGGGGGGGUGUAAUAAGGUCAAUUCAACCGACUGGUUCAAAAAAAAUCGCCAAAAAAAUUUCGGUCAGUGUACCAUUUUAGGGGUCCAAAAAUUUUUCCGGACCUACAAAAAUUUUCCGGAACAUUCAAAAAUUUUCAGCACAUAACAAAUUUUCAACAUUUUUUUACAUUUUUCCAAAAUUUUUACAUUUUUCCUCAAAAUUUUCCUAAAAUUCCCACCACGUUCUUGCCCUUUGCGCCAAAAAUAUUUAACCCAAAUAGCAGUUCUACCGACUGAAUAGCAGUCCUACCGACUGAAUACAAUUACUGGGNNNNNNNNNNNNNNNNNNNNCCCCCCCCCCCACACCCCCCCGCCCGUAGCUCCGGGCCUGGCAGUGAGCAACGUAUGUAACUUGGUAUGUUUAGUAUUGUUGAACGCAGUGAAUAUCCAGAAUUCGAAUUAUAUAUCAAAUGUUUUCAAGAACAAAACAUGAGUUCUGUGCGUUUUGAAAGGCAUGCGUGGGUGAAAAUCGUAUUUUUUUCAUGCAUGUUAAGAAGUACGUAUACAUGCACGUAAUAAUGUAAAUUACUGAAAAUUCCGACAAAUUUUUCUGUGUGCGGAUCACACAUUUGUGACAAAAUUUUCAAAUAUCAUUCAUAUACUGUUAAUCCUAAUUUGUAUAUUCUCUUCAUCACAUGAUUAGCUGUAUCAACCACAAAUUAAAAUACUUAUUUUCUGAAAACAUCCGAAGAUUUUUCAAUAUUUUUAGCCUGCCAGAAACUUCAGCGACAUAACAACGAUUUCCAUUUUGAUGCUUAUUUGAGAGCUUUGGCAAUUUUAGAUCUUUCUAAGUUCACACUACGUCAACUAACCUUCUGAAACACACUAACGAUUUGUGUUUUCUUUUGUUUCACAGCACACGUUGCCCAAUCUGUCGUGAGAGUUUUGCGCACAAACUUGAACGACGACCACUGCCAAAUUCACGAAAACGUGCUGGAAAAUAACUAUGGAUGGAAAGCCAGGUGCAAGAUUUUCAUAAACUUGACAAACGUCGUAUAGUAAUUGAGUUUCUGGGUAACCUCGGCUAUUCACUUGGUAACUGUAAGUAUUUUAUGUUACUUGAAACAGCUGUCAACGAGGUAAUGCGGUAGCAUGGAUAGUCGAACCAAUACAAUUUAAUCGGCCGGAAAUUCCUGCAUGCAUGCCUGGGGAGAGUAAAAACAUAAAAUAUAGGCAUUUUUUACCCUAUUUAAAAAAAAUGUUAAAAAUUUCUUUACAUGUACUAUUUAAAACGUGAGCAGCAGCUAGUGUUUUAUCAGAUGUAAAGAUACACGCGCGUGUUGCAAUUAAAGCAUAUUUUCUUACUUCCCCGCCAAAAUAAUAAUUUUCCCCGGACCUGUGGGCUAUUAACGUCCACCGCAUGGGGGUUGUAGACUGUCCUGCACCCCGGAAUGCCAUGUGCUUCACAAGAUUCUUCGCACAAUUUUGCAUUUUGACUGAUAUAAACAUUCCGCUUCUCAUUUAUUUAGAUCCAGAUGGGACGUUUGAUUACAAUAACACCGCAUUUUUUAUACCAGUUUAAUUAGAUGAAUGUAGCUUUCAGGGAGGCGAACAUUAUGUAAUCAGGAUAUCACAUAGCAAAAUAUACGCAAAAUCAAUAUAAUCUUAAAGUAUGGGUGUAGCUAUAUGCACAUGUAAUCAGGGAAUUAUAGCAGGAAGGGAUAUCGGAAACUAAUCUACUCCGGGGCUGGUUUUAGGAUAGUUUAU
rnacentral:lncRNA from 1 species